rnacentral:rRNA from 1 species
CCUACGGGUGGCAGCAGUGAGGAAUAUUGGUCAAUGGACGAGAGUCUGAACCAGCCAAGUAGCGUGAAGGAUGACUGCCCUAUGGGUUGUAAACUUCUUUUAUAUGGGAAUAAAAUGUUCCACGUGUGGGAUUUUGUAUGUACCAUAUGAAUAAGGAUCGGCUAACUCCGUGCCAGCAGCCGCGGUAAUACGGAGGAUCCGAGCGUUAUCCGGAUUUAUUGGGUUUAAAGGGAGCGUAGGUGGAGUGUUAAGUCAGUUGUGAAAGUUUACGGCUCAACCGUAAAAUUGCAGUUGAAACUGGCAGUCUUGAGUACAGUAGAGGUGGGCGGAAUUCGUGGUGUAGCGGUGAAAUGCUUAGAUAUCACGAAGAACUCCGAUUGCGAAGGCAGUUCACUGGACUGCAACUGACACUGAGGCUCGAAAGUGUGGGUAUCAAACAGGAUUAGAUACCCUAGUAGUC